GCCACCGCGAAGCCCUUACGAACCGCAGUAUUCGCCGCACGUAACUAGGACAAGCGGGUGAUGGCCAGUCACCGGGUGUCCUCCUAGCGGGGGGUGGUUGCUGAGUUUCAAAGCAAACCGCUCUCCCCCCCUCUUGCUCCCCCCUCCCCAGGACACCACGGGGUGGUACGAGCCGACAGGCUGGGCGCUGUGUGCGGGAGAUACGCCACUCGGGCCCCGACAUGAAAGGGUGCCGCGGAAGCUCGACCGCCUGCGUGGGCCUGGCCACCGUCAUUCAUCACUCCACGCCUUAAUUGAGUUGGUAAGCGGCGCAGAAUUGCAGCCAACUAAUUAAGAAAUAAAGACGACGCAAUAACGUGGAGGUCUCCCCCCCCCCCCCCACCUCUUUUCAAACGAUCCGUUGAUUUUUAAGCGCGCAUCUGUCCCGUUAGAUCGCCGCCGCCGCCGUGAGUAAUUCUGUGCCGUACAUCGAGUGCCAGAUCGAGUCGUGAAUGUGCGUGUACAGCUGGAGUACCGGGCGUGCUCUGCGCUGUUCUCGAAGCAACUCUCGCUUCAAAAGCAGGUUUUUGUGCGUGAUUCGUGCACGUGUUCUGCACGUCGUCGCCCCCGAAACAUUGCAUUGUAAAAAGUCAAUGCUUCGUCUCAGUCGCUACUAUCGGUGUCACCAGACGGUGGAUCCAUGAUGAUCUCUCGCGAAACGGGCUCGAGGACCGACCCUCGGAAGCGGAUAUCGUAGAGCUACCGCCGGUGGCUUCGAUGGAAAGGACGCUACUACUGGGGAGUUGGAGGCUGUCGCCCUCCGGCAACGACGACGGAGGGACAGAGCAGCGACGCUCGCAACAACGAGCGGAGCGCCGGGUUGGCUGAAACGCAGCGAGUGGCACGGGUCGCGGGCUCCGCGAUGAAGUCACGGAGUCUUCGAGCGGAACGAAAAGCGAGGCGCAGAAAAUCUUAGAGCGGAAAAAAAGAAGGUCUCAAAAGUCCCGACCAGCUGGCCUGCGGUGCAGGAAUGAUGAGCAGCCGACAGGCCUGGCCUGGCCUUGCUCCGCGAUAGGAGCCGGGGGGGGGGGGGGGGGGGCACCGCGGAAUCCAGCCGGGAUUUUUGGAGUGGCUCUGGUUGAGAUUUUAAGAUCCACGAACACAAAGACACGUGGUGGAGGCAGCAAAGGCGCUGUCGUCGCUAGCUCCCUUGCGCUAUGCCUCACACACAACACCCCCGGCGACCCGAGUUCGAUUCCGGGCCACGGCCAGCGUCAGCGGUGAUUAAUAAUUAUCUGAACCGAUCCUGGGCCUCUCGUAGGUCGACUCGUGCUUAAAUGAGUGGCUGGUGGGUGCGGUGCGAGAAAACAAAACUUCGACCCUGGAGAGAGACAAAGGUGGCCGGACGUUGACCGCUCACCUCUCGAUCACCCCCCCCCCCUCCCCACUUGUGCAAUGUAUUGCACGGCCUUCGUAGCUUAUUGCAAAACAGCACCUUGCGCCCAACACGGUGGGACGUUUCGCGCGCGCGCGCGAUCGAGUCGUGAAAUUCUUUCGAGCGAAAUGAGAAGGGGGCGAAGUGCGACGAAGGGGACGCCGAGGCGUCGAUCCCGACAGCCGACUGCAGCGCUGCGAUGACGAGCGACCCGCAGACCCGACCCGACCUUGCCUCCGCCUCGGACGCCGAGGAAUCCUCGUGGAAACCCCAGUCGGUGGUGGUGGGGGGGUGGCUACGGUUAUGAUUCACACACAAAGACAUUGGCGACGAAUCCCCGUGUAGCGUAUACAGUGCGCUUCAAAAGAAUGUUAACACUUACACGGGACUAUCGUUUUAAAUGGAAAAAGAACGAAUAAUAAAUACACUGUAACGUGAUAACAAAUGGCAUGUAGCUUCAAAAAGUCAAAGAGUCAAAGAGUCUCCCACUCGUUCGCUAUCAUUGUCACCGCAUGCCUGGAAUCUUCUCCUGGUGGUCUCCAGAGCCAGGAGGCACAUUUUCUCGUGGUGUUGUUGCAAAUUCUCAGGGAGUGUUAACAUGUUUUUGAAGCACGCUGUACACGGAGUGUUUGGGCGCUCGUUGCUAUUUGCGAGUCCGACGUUCUUGCCACCCUCGUGUCUCCAACGGUUUACACACCGCACCAGAUACUUAUUUCAGGAUGAGUUGACCUAAGGGAGGCCAAAGAUGGCUGGAAUUUAACUCGCGGUGUGGUGGGCACCAUAUCGGGUGUACGCAGCAUUUGAGGCUGAGUCGACGUAGUGGCGGUUCAGGACCUGUUCAAUAUAUACUUCGGCAACUGAUAUAGGAAUAGGUUUUACCUUUUUAACUGGCACAAAAACUGACACCUUUAUUCAAGGCAUCAUGUUUGCAAUAACCACAACACAAGCAGUCAAAAUGCAA